rnacentral:rRNA from 1 species
CCAGACUCCUACGGGAGGCAGCAGUGAGGAAUAUUGGACAAUGGAGGCAACUCUGAUCCAGCCAUGCCGCGUGCAGGAAGACGGCCCUAUGGGUUGUAAACUGCUUUUAUACGGGAAGAACCACAUCUACGUGUAGAUGCUUGACGGUACCGUAUGAAUAAGGACCGGCUAACUCCGUGCCAGCAGCCGCGGUAAUACGGAGGGUCCAAGCGUUAUCCGGAAUCAUUGGGUUUAAAGGGUCCGUAGGCGGGAUAAUAAGUCAGUGGUGAAAGUCUGCAGCUCAACUGUAGAAUUGCCAUUGAUACUGUUGUUCUUGAAUUAUUAUGAAGUGGUUGGAAUGAGUAGUGUAGCGGUGAAAUGCAUAGAUAUUACUCAGAACACCUAUUGCGAAGGCAGAUCACUAAUAAUAUAUUGACGCUGAGGGACGAAAGCGUAGGUAGCGAACAGGAUUAGAUACCCUGGUAGUCUACGCCGUAAACGAUGGUUACUAGCUGUUCGGCUCGAUUGAGAGCUGAGUGGUUAAGCGAAAGUGAUAAGUAACCCACCUGGGGAGUACGUUCGCAAGAAUGAAACUCAAAGGAAUUGACGGGGGCCCGCACAAGCGGUGGAGC